ACAUGUUUACAUCAUAGCGUUAAUGCACUGGAUCCCAUUAGAAAUAUGCAGUUAGGUGCACUCAGGCUAGAGUAAUACUGGGAUGAGUGACCACCUGGGAAGUCCUAGUGUUUUACUUGCC
rnacentral:rRNA from 1 species